rnacentral:rRNA from 1 species
GGGAUCUGACUCGCUCUACACCCUUUGUGACAUACCUAUAACUGUUGCUUCGGCGGGCAGGGUCUCCGUGACCCUCCCGGCCUCCCGCCCCCGGGCGGGUCGGCGCCCGCCGGAGGAUAACCAAACUCUGAUUUAACGACGUUUCUUCUGAGUGGUACAAGCAAAUAAUCAAAACUUUUAACAACGGAUCUCUUGGUUCUGGCAUCGAUGAAGAACGCAGCGAAAUGCGAUAAGUAAUGUGAAUUGCAGAAUUCAGUGAAUCAUCGAAUCUUUGAACGCACAUUGCGCCCGCCAGCAUUCUGGCGGGCAUGCCUGUUCGAGCGUCAUUUCAACCCUCAAGCUCUGCUUGGUGUUGGGGCCCUACAGCUGAUGUAGGCCCUCAAAGGUAGUGGCGGACCCUCCCGGAGCCUCCUUUGCGUAGUAACUUUACGUCUCGCACUGGGAUCCGGAGGGACUCUUGCCGUAAAACCCCCAAUUUUCCAAAGGUUGACCUCGGAUCAGGUAGGAAUACCCGCUGAACUUAAGCAUAUCAAUAAGCGGAGGAA